rnacentral:rRNA from 2 species
CAGUCGAGCGAAUCGAUGGGAGCUUGCUCCCUGAGAUUAGCGGCGGACGGGUGAGUAACACGUGGGCAACCUGCCUAUAAGACUGGGAUAACUUCGGGAAACCGGAGCUAAUACCGGAUACGUUCUUUUCUCGCAUGAGAGAAGAUGGAAAGACGGUUUACGCUGUCACUUAUAGAUGGGCCCGCGGCGCAUUAGCUAGUUGGUGAGGUAAUGGCUCACCAAGGCGACGAUGCGUAGCCGACCUGAGAGGGUGAUCGGCCACACUGGGACUGAGACACGGCCCAGACUCCUACGGGAGGCAGCAGUAGGGAAUCUUCCGCAAUGGACGAAAGUCUGACGGAGCAACGCCGCGUGAACGAAGAAGGCCUUCGGGUCGUAAAGUUCUGUUGUUAGGGAAGAACAAGUACCAGAGUAACUGCUGGUACCUUGACGGUACCUAACCAGAAAGCCACGGCUAACUACGUGCCAGCAGCCGCGGUAAUACGUAGGUGGCAAGCGUUGUCCGGAAUUAUUGGGCGUAAAGCGCGCGCAGGUGGUUCCUUAAGUCUGAUGUGAAAGCCCACGGCUCAACCGUGGAGGGUCAUUGGAAACUGGGGAACUUGAGUGCAGAAGAGGAAAGUGGAAUUCCAAGUGUAGCGGUGAAAUGCGUAGAGAUUUG